AUUUGGAAAAGGCCAAAGCCUCCCCGCCGCGCCCCCUGGCUCGUCAAACAGACCCCUUGCAGAAGCCGGAACCGGUGGAAGUGCAACAAUGAGUUAAAUUCAAAGGUGUGUUGUUUUCCAUUACUUUUGUUUGAAUUUGCGGAUUUUAAAGUUAAAGAUUCAGUUUUGGAUGAUGGGAUCCAUGUUUUACUCUUUCUGCAAAACACAAAUCUACAUUAGAGGUGGAAUUUCCAGGAUUUCACCUACUUCCCAAUGUCUCAGCUUUCUUCAUAACCUUUCAAUGAUUACAUUAGCUGCUAGAUAUGUUUCAAGGAUUGCUAGCAAUGAACAAUCUUUUACAUCUUCUUACCUCAUAAACUCUUGUGGGUUCUCUCCAGAAUCUGCUUUAUCAAUUUCCAAAAUAGUCCACUUUAAAAGCCCCCAAAAGCCUGACUCUGUCAUUAGCUUCUUCAAGAACCAUGGCUUUUCACAAAUCCAAGUCAGAAACCUCAUUAAAAAACGACCCAAAUUGCUUUUGCGGGAUCCUGACAAAAUCCUUUUGCCUAAAUUUCAGUUCUUUUACUCCAAAAGGAUUUCAACCUCUGACCUCGCAAGAAUCCUGUCUUCAAACCCACAUGUGUUGGAAUAUGAUUUAGAUAACCGCAUCAUUCCCAGUUUCAAUUUCUUCAAGGAUUUAACUCACUGUGAUGAUGAUAAGGUUUUUCUAGCCUACAAGAAUUUGUCAGGCAUUCUUACACGUAAUUUGCAGUCCGUUUUUGCUGCUAAUCUUGCAAUUCUGCGAGAAAUUGGGGUGCCUGAAUCAAUUCUUUUGGCUAAACUUGUUGUCCACCCAAGAAUCUUUGCUCAGAAUCAUGAUAAGUUUAGAAGAACUGCAGAAGAAGUAAUGAAAUUGGGUUUUAGACCCUCAAAGCAACUUUUUCUUGUAGCUCUUCAAGCUUUGAUACAAAUGAGCAAACCAACAUGGCAAAGGAAAUUCAAUGCUUUUAAACAAUGGGGUUGGUCUGAUGAAGAUAUUAUUUCUGCUUUUGAGAAGUAUCCAAGGUGCAUGAUUCUCUCUGAGCGCAAUGUCACAGCAACAAUGAACAUUUAUAUCAACACAAUGGGCUGGAAAUCUUCAGAUAUUGUAAACUCUCCGGUUCUUCUUUCAUAUAGCUUGGAGAGGAGAAUUAUCCCUCGGUGUUCAGUUCUUCAAGCUUUAUCAUCCAAAGGUUUGAUUGAGAAAUCCAGUGUUUAUUCUAUGGUGUAUACUGAAAAGGAGUUCCUCCAAAGGGCUCAUUGAAUGGGGUUAUUGUACCAGUCACCUGAUGGAAGUAAAGCAUAAAAGAUGAAGAAAGCGAGACCUAUGGUGUAACACGGUUACACGAUGGAAUUAAACAGAUAAAAGAAUGCCAUGCAACUUUUACAAAGACAAGAUCGAUUUCAGUAGCAAUAGAUGACAUAUGGUCUUGCAAGGAAGAAAGAAAAUAAAUUGAAGAUUAUUUGAACUACACGAAAGAGCAACAAUUUAUGGUAGAUUCCUGUUACUCACAAUGGCGGUUGGCGUUGGAGGAAGGUGCUGAAGUUAAGAGCUGUUGCCUUCACCUUUAUUAUAACAGAUUGGUGAAAAGGUUUGGGUUUAUUCUGGUGCUAAAUACUUCUGCUAAACAACUCGAAAUGCAACUGGACAAACUUCAAAACUAAGUUCAGGUUUACAUUUUUAGAGUCAAAGGGAAACUAGCGACAGUGCCUUCUGCAGGUCGUAGGCCAUCAACAAUCAGAAUAAUGCCUCAUGAAACUAACAAAAAUGAAGCACUUAACAGCACAUAGCAGCCAACGACACCAAUCUCAUUAAAAUAUUCUCCAUCCACAUUACAUUGGAAGUUGCGCCUUGUCACAAUGGUGGGAUGCAAGAAAUCAGGGUCUAUUUCUAAGGAUCCUUGAACGGUGGU